UUUAAAUUGAGAGUUUGAUCCUGGCUCAGGAUGAACGCUGGCGGCGUGCCUAAUACAUGCAAGUCGUACGCUAGCCGCUGAAUUGAUCCUUCGGGUGAAGUGAGGCAAUGACUAGAGUGGCGAACUGGUGAGUAACACGUAAGAAACCUGCCCUUUAGUGGGGGAUAACAUUUGGAAACAGAUGCUAAUACCGCGUAACAACAAAUCACACAUGUGAUCUGUUUGAAAGGUCCUUUUGGAUCGCUAGAGGAUGGUCUUGCGGCGUAUUAGCUUGUUGGUAGGGUAGAAGCUACCAAAGCAAUGAUGCGUAGCCGAGUUGAGAGACUGGCCGGCCACAUUGGGACUGAGACACUGCCCAAACUCCUACGGGAGGCUGCAGUAGGGAAUUUUCCGCAAUGCACGAAAGUGUGACGGAGCGACGCCGCGUGUGUGAUGAAGGCUUUCGGGUCGUAAAGCACUGUUGUAAGGGAAGAAUAACUGAAUUCAGAGAAAGUUUUCAGCUUGACGGUACCUUACCAGAAAGGGAUGGCUAAAUACGUGCCAGCAGCCGCGGUAAUACGUAUGUCCCGAGCGUUAUCCGGAUUAUUGGGCGUAAAGCGAGCGCAGACGGUUUAUUAAGUCUGAUGUGAAAUCCCGAGGCCCAACCUCGGAACUGCAUUGGAAACUGAUUUAUUUGAGUGCGAUAGA
rnacentral:rRNA from 1 species